AACGAACGCUGGCGGCAGGCCUAACACAUGCAAGUCGAGCGAGCAUUUCGGUGCUAGCGGCGGACGGGUGAGUAACGCGUGGGAACGUGCCCUUUUCUGCGGAAUAGUCCUGGGAAACGGGGGGUAAUACCGCAUACGCCCUUUUGGGGAAAGAUUUAUCGGAGAAGGAUCGGCCCGCGUUGGAUUAGGUAGUUGGUGGGGUAAUGGCCCACCAAGCCGACGAUCCAUAGCUGGUUUGAGAGGAUGAUCAGCCACACUGGGACUGAGACACGGCCCAGACUCCUACGGGAGGCAGCAGUGGGGAAUCUUAGACAAUGGGGGCAACCCUGAUCUAGCCAUGCCGCGUGAGUGAUGAAGGCCUUAGGGUUGUAAAGCUCUUUCAGCUGGGAAGAUAAUGACGGUACCAGCAGAAGAAGCCCCGGCUAACUCCGUG
rnacentral:rRNA from 1 species